rnacentral:rRNA from 1 species
CAAUAGCGUAUAUUAAAGUUGUUGCAGUUAAAAAGCUCGUAGUUGAAUUUCUGGAGGGCACGUUGGGACCGCUUGAUUGCGCGUCCUUGACGAACUCUCCAUCCUUGCAGGGAGCGCGUCGGCCUUCAUUGGUUCGGCGUGUCGACCUGCAUCCUUUACUGUGAAAAAAUUAGAGUGUUUAAAGCAGGCGAUCGCUUGAAUACAUUAGCAUGGAAUAAUAAGAUAGGACUUUGGUCUAUUUUGUUGGUUUAUGGGACCGAAGUAAUGAUUAACAGGGACAGUUGGGGCCGUUUAUAUUUCGUUGUCAGAGGUGAAAUUCUUGGAUUUACGAAAGAUAAACUUCUGCGAAAGCAUUCGGCAAGGAUGUUUUCAUUGA